AACUUAGGGAUAAGGGGUGCCACCAUCAGGUGGCCGCAGAGAAUAGGCCCAAGCGACUGUUUCCCAAAAACAUAGGUUUCUGCUAAGUCGCAAGACGAUGUAUAGGAGCUGCCGCCUGCCCGGUGCUGGAAGGUUAAGGGGAUCUGUUAGAGCAAUCGAAGCAGUGAACUUAAGCCCCAGUAAACGGCGGCCGUAACUAUAACGGUCCUA
rnacentral:rRNA from 1 species